GUCGUGGAGCUCAAGUAUAAAUUCCAGCAGAAACACAGCAUGCAGGACAGCUAGAUGGAAACGAAGGCUCAAAGGUAAAAAUAUUUCGCUGGCAUGAAGUCUCCAGGCAUGCCGAAUGUUUGUUGUGGAUUAUUGGUUUUAGCAUGCCUGCUAUCCAUUUUCCUAAUACUACCCAAGCAAGGCCCUGCAGUCUCAUCUCUCUGGGAGAAUUCCUCUCCCAGAGGCUACUUUUGUUCUCCCUGGAUCUUGCCAGACAGAAAAUAAACAAGAGGGGUUGGUUCUUUAGCAAGGAGCAAUUCUCAAAACCUCUCUGACUUGAAGAGG
rnacentral:lncRNA from 1 species